rnacentral:rRNA from 1 species
UACGGGGGGGGGCAAGCGUUGUUCGGAAUUACUGGGCGUAAAGGGCUCGUAGGCGGCCAACUAAGUCAGACGUGAAAUCCCUCGGCUUAACCGGGGAACUGCGUCUGAUACUGGUUGGCUUGAGUGUGGGAGGAGGGAGUGCGGAAUUCCAGGUGUAGCGGUGAAAUGCGUAGAUAUCUGGAGGAACACCGGUGGCGAAGGCGGCAUCCUGGACCAUUACUGACGCUGAGGAGCGAAAGCCAGGGGAGCAAAGCGGG